CUGAACACGCCCGAUCUCGUCCGAUCUCGGAAGCCAAGCAG
ensembl:rRNA 5S_rRNA 5S ribosomal RNA